GUGCUUGCUUUGGCAGCACAAAUUCUAAAACUGGAACAGUGCAGAGAAGAGUAGCACAUGGCCCCUGUACAAAGAUGGCACACAAAUUCACGAAGCGUAAAAAAGAAAG
ensembl:snRNA U6 U6 spliceosomal RNA